UGUUGCUUGACGGGGUGCCGGUGGAACCGGCUGAGAUCGUUCUGCGCCAGAACCUGGCGCCACGACGGAUCCCGAUGAACCUGAUCCGGCUAGUACCGGCGUAGGGACUCAAGGCAUACCGGCUG
rnacentral:ncRNA from 2 species